rnacentral:rRNA from 1 species
UGAGUACGAGACGCUAAGGCGUCGAAGUAGUGGAUGUCAUACUUCCAAGAAAAGCUUGCACUGUCAUAAAUAAAAACGCCUGUACCAUAACCGACACAGGUGGGUAGGUAGAGUAUACUAAGGGGCGCGAGAUAACUCUCUCUAAGGAACUCGGCAAAAUAACUCCGUAACUUCGGGAGAAGGAGUGCCUUAUUCGUAAGGCUGCAAUAACAAGAUCCAAGCAACUGUUUAUCAAAAACACAGGUCUCCGCUAAGUCGUAAGACAAUGUAUGGGGGCUGACGCCUGCCCAGUGCCAGAAGGUUAAAGAAGUCGGUUAGCAUUAGCGAAGCUGGUAACUGAAGCCCUGGUGAACGGCGGCCGUAACUAUAACGGUCCUAAGGUAGCGAAAUUCCUUGUCGGGUAAGUUCCGACCCGCACGAAAGGCGUAAUGAUUUGGAUACUGUCUCGGAGAGGGGCUCGGUGAAAUAGACUUGUCUGUGAAGAUGCGGACUACCUGCACCAGGACAGAAAGACCCUAUGAAGCUUUACUGUAACUUGAAAUUGAAAUUGGACUUUAUUCGCGCAGUAUAGGUGGGAGGUGUUGAUUAUAAUCUUGCGGGAUUAUUGGAGCCAUCAGUGAGAUACCACUCUUGUAAUGUUAGAUUUCUAACUUUGAAUCAUUAUCUGGUCAAAGAACAGUUUCAGGCGGGCAGUUUGACUGGGGCGGUCGCCUCCUAAAUGGUAACGGAGGCGUACAAAGGUUUCCUCUGAACGGGUAGAAAUCGUAUCUAGAGUGUAAAGGCAUAAGGAAGCUUGACUGUGAGACCUACAAGUCGAGCAGGGACGAAAGUCGGUCUUAGUGAUCUGACGGUACUGAGUGGAAAGGCCGUCACUCAACGGAUAAAAGUUACUCUAGGAUAACAGGCUGAUCUCCCCCAAGAGUUCACAUCGACGGGGAGGUUUGGCACCUCGAUGUCGGCUCAUCGCAUCCUGGGGCGGUAGUACGUCCCAAGGGUUGGGCUGUUCGCCCAUGAAAGCGGUACGCGAGCUGGGUUCAGAACGUCGUGAGACAGUUCGGUCCAUAUCCGGUGUAGGCGUUAGAAUAUUGAGAGGAGCUUUCUUUAGUACGAGAGGACCGAGAAGGACAUACCUCUGGUGUACCAGUUAUCGUGCCAACGGUAAACGCUGGGUAGCUAUGUAUGGAGUGGAUAACCGCUGAAAGCAUCUAAGUGGGAAGCCCACCUCAAGAUAAGUAUUCUCAUC